UACGUAGGGUGCGAGCGUUAAUCGGAAUUACUGGGCGUAAAGCGUGCGCAGGCGGUGAUGUAAGACAGAUGUGAAAUCCCAGGGCUUAAACUUGGAACUGCAUUUGUGACUGCAUCGCUGGAGUGCGGCAGAGGGGGAUGGAAUUCCGCGUGUAGCAGUGAAAUGCGUAGAUAUGCGGAGGAACACCGAUGGCGACGGCACUCCCCUGGGCCUGCACUGACGCUCAUGCACGAAAGCGUGGGGAGCAAACAGG
rnacentral:rRNA from 1 species